rnacentral:rRNA from 1 species
AUUGAACGCUGGCGGCAUGCUUUACGCAUGCAAGUCGAACGGCAGCGCGGGCUUCGGCCUGGCGGCGAGUGGCGAACGGGUGAGUAAUACAUCGGAACGUGCCCAGUAGUGGGGGAUAGCUCGGCGAAAGCCGGAUUAAUACCGCAUACGACCUGAGGGUGAAAGCGGGGGAUCUUCGGACCUCGCGCUAUUGGAGCGGCCGAUGGCAGAUUAGCUAGUUGGUGGGGUAAAGGCCUACCAAGGCGACGAUCUGUAGCUGGUCUGAGAGGACGACCAGCCACACUGGGACUGAGACACGGCCCAGACUCCUACGGGAGGCAGCAGUGGGGAAUUUUGGACAAUGGGCGAAAGCCUGAUCCAGCAAUGCCGCGUGUGUGAUGAAGGCCUUCGGGUUGUAAAGCACUUUUGGCGGGAACGAAAAGGACUGUGCCAAUACCACGGUUCGAUGACGGUACCCGCAGAAUAAGCACCGGCUAACUACGU